UACGUAGGGGGCAAGCGUUGUCCGGAUUUAUUGGGCGUAAAGAGCGUGUAGGCGGCUAGGUAGGUCCGUUGUGAAAACUCGAGGCUCAACCUCGAGACGCCGGUGGAAACCAUCUAGCUAGAGUCCGGAAGAGGAGAGUGGAAUUCCUGGUGUAGCGGUGAAAUGCACAGAUAUCAGGAGGAACACCGGUGGCGAAGGCGGGUCUCUGGGCCGAUACUGACGCUGAGGAGCGAAAGCGUGGGGAGCGAACAGG
rnacentral:rRNA from 1 species